rnacentral:rRNA from 1 species
GCCGGAGGGUGCAAUCGUUAUUCGGAAUUAUUGGGCGUAAAGAGCGUGUAGGCGGCCGGUUAAGUCAGGUGUGAAAGCCCGGGGCUCAACCUCGGAAGUGCACUUGAUACUGGUCGGCUUGAGUUCGGGAGAGGGAAGCGGAAUUCCUGGUGUAGAGGUGAAAUUCGUAGAUAUCAGGAGGAACAUCGGUGGCGAAGGCGGCUUCCUGGACCGAAACUGACGCUGAGACGCGAAAGCGUGGGGAGAAAACAGG